rnacentral:sRNA from 1 species
AGUGCUGGAAGACCUGACGAGUUCCGACUUA